GACGAACGCUGGCGGCGUGCUUAACACAUGCAAGUCGAACGAUGAACCGGGUGCUUGCACCUGGGGAUUAGUGGCGAACGGGUGAGUAACACGUGAGUAACCUGCCCUGGACUCUGGGAUAACCCCGAGAAAUCGGAGCUAAUACCGGAUAGGACCUUUCCUCGCAUGAGGUUUGGUGGAAAGUUUUUCGGUCUGGGAUGGACUCGCGGCCUAUCAGCUUGUUGGUGAGGUAAUGGCUCACCAAGGCGUCGACGGGUAGCCGGCCUGAGAGGGUGACCGGCCACACUGGGACUGAGACACGGCCCAGACUCCUACGGGAGGCAGCAGUGGGGAAUAUUGCACAAUGGGCGCAAGCCUGAUGCAGCAACGCCGCGUGCGGGAUGACGGCCUUCGGGUUGUAAACCGCUUUUAGUAGGGAAGAAGGGCUUCGGCUUGACGGUACCUGCAGAAAAAGGACCGGCUAACUUCGUGCCAGCCGCCGCAGUAAAAC
rnacentral:rRNA from 1 species